rnacentral:rRNA from 1 species
CCUAGGGGAGGCAGCAGUGAGGAAUAUUGGUCAAUGGGCGCAAGCCUGAACCAGCCAAGUCGCGUGAGGGAUGACGGUCCUAUGGAUUGUAAACCUCUUUUGUCGGGGAGCAAGGCCCGCCACGUGUGGCGGGAAGGAGAGUACCCGAAGAAAAAGCAUCGGCUAACUCCGUGCCAGCAGCCGCGGUAAUACGGAGGAUGCGAGCGUUAUCCGGAUUUAUUGGGCGUAAAGAGUUCGUAGGCGGCAUGUAAAGUCAGGUGUUAAAGGCGCAGGCUCAACCUGUGUAUGGCACUUGAUACGUGCAAGCUGGAAUGCGGUAGAGGUAAAGGGAAUUCCUGGUGUAGCGGUGAAAUGCUUAGAUAUCAGGAGGAACAUCGGUGGCGUAAGCGCUUUACUGGGCCGUAAUUGACGCUGAGGAACGAAAGCCAGGGUAGCAAAUGGGAUUAGAUACCCCAGUAGUC